rnacentral:lncRNA from 1 species
GUUUGACUUCCUGCUGGAUGAUGGCUCCAUCUCCCUCUCCUUUCAUCGAAUAAUCUGGAAACAGCCACUCCGGUUUAACAAUGAUCUUUAUCUGGAGUUCCACUACCAGCUGCUUUUGGCUAAUUAUCUGGGAGGGAGGCUGUUGCUGCCCAUGAACGGCUCUACAAUCUACCAGCAGGUGGCAGAGUUGACCGCUCUUCAACACCUUGCCCUUGGGCUGACUGAUUUACCUUCCAACUCUGAGGUAAAGCAGUAUCUUCCCCGGAUGGAUCGGCUCAACUCCAGUGACGAAAGACUUCUUGCUACUAUACGGGCACAGUUUUCUACCUUAGGCCCCCUCGGCCAUCUUGAUGCCAAAGCUCGCUUUAUCAAAAGUGUCAGUUUGCUGCCUUUCUUUGGAUUUGAUGUAUUCACUGCUCAGAAAGUAAGUCAUCGCAGCUGCCCCUCUCCCUCCCUGGUCGCAGUCAGCCAUAAUGUUAUCAAAAUCAUUGAUCCCAAAUCACAGGUGUGA